AAAAAAACAAACCCUGAGUUUCCGUGUCCAACUUUGACUGUCCGUCUUAUAUGAAAUUUUUUUAUAAUUCGUAUUUUCAUUGUUGUUAGAUGAUAAAACAUGAUUAAUAUUUUAUGCGUGACUUGUCUUUUUAAUUUUUUUCAUAAUUUUUUCAAAUAAGACGAACGAUCAAACGUUGGAUACGGAAACCAAGGUUUGUCUUUUUU
rnacentral:pre_miRNA from 1 species